rnacentral:rRNA from 1 species
ACACCGGCAGCUCAAGUGGUAGCCGCUUUUAUUGGGCCUAAAGCGUCCGUAGCCGGUCUGAUAAGUCUCUGGUGAAAUCCCACAGCUUAACUGUGGGAAUUGCUGGAGAUACUAUCAGGCUUGAGGUCGGGAGAGGUUAGAGGUACUCCCAGGGUAGGGGUGAAAUCCUAAAAUCCUGGGAGGACCACCUGUGGCGAAGGCGUCUAAGUGGAACGAACCUGAAGGGGAGUAACGAAAGCCAGGGGCGCGAACCGGAUUAGAUACCCGGGUAGUCCUGGCCGUAAACGAUGUGGACUUGGUGUCGGGAUGUCCUCGAGCGGCCCCAGUGCCGAAGGGAAGCUGUUAAGUCCACCGCCUGGGAAGUACGGUCGCAAGACUGAAACUUAAAGGAAUUGGCGGGG